rnacentral:rRNA from 1 species
AUGAACGCUGGCGGCGUGCCUAAUCCAUGCAAGUCGAGCGAACAGACGAGGAGCUUGCUCCUCUGACGUUAGCGGCGGCCGGGUGAGUAACACGUGGAUAACCUACCUAUAAGACUGGGAUAACUUCGGGAAACCGGAGCUAAUACCGGAUAAUAUAUUGAACCGCAUGGUUCAAUAGUGAAAGACGGUUUUGCUGUCACUUAUAGAUGGAUCCGCGCCGCAUUAGCUAGUUGGUAAGGUAACGGCUUACCAAGGCAACGAUGCGUAGCCGACCUGAGAGGGGGAUCGGCGACAUGGGAAGUGGGACACGGUCAAGACGCCUACGGGAGGCAGCAGUAGGGUAUCUUAGGCAGUGGGCGGAAGCCUGACGGAGCAAGCGGGCGUGAGAGAUGAAGAUGUUCGGAUCGUAAAGCCCUGUUAUUAGGGAAGAACAAAUGUGUAAUUAACUAUGCACGUCUUGACGGUACCUAGUCAGAAAGCCACGGCUAACUACGUG